AGAUUGAACGCUGGCGGCAGGCCUAACACAUGCAAGUCGAGCGGUAGAGAGGUGCUUGCACCUCUUGAGAGCGGCGGACGGGUGAGUAAUGCCUAGGAAUCUGCCUAGUGGUGGGGGAUAACGUUCGAAAACGGACGCUAAUACCGCAUACGUCCUACGGGAGAAAGCGGGGGACCUUCGGGCCUCGCGCCAUUAGAUGAGCCUAGGUCGGAUUAGCUAGUUGGUGAGGUAAUGGCUCACCAAGGCGACGAUCCGUAACUGGUCUGAGAGGAUGAUCAGUCACACUGGAACUGAGACACGGUCCAGACUCCGUACGGGA
rnacentral:rRNA from 1 species